AGUCAGGAUCAAGUUGACCAUCUAAACAGUCCCAUAUUGAAAGACCCCCGAAGGGAGACCCUCACUCAAGCCUUGGGACAGCCGCGGACCCAAGAAGACACUGAGACUG
rnacentral:pre_miRNA from 7 species